rnacentral:rRNA from 1 species
CGGCGGACGGGUGAGUAACGCGUGGGCAACCUGCCUUACACAGGGGGAUAACAGUUAGAAAUGACUGCUAAUACCGCAUAAGACCACAGUACUGCAUGGUGCAGUGGUAAAAACUCCGGUGGUGUAAGAUGGGCCCGCGUCUGAUUAGGUAGUUGGCGGGGUAACGGCCCACCAAGCCGACGAUCAGUAGCCGACCUGAGAGGGUGACCGGCCACAUUGGGACUGAGACACGGCCCAGACUCCUACGGGAGGCAGCAG